GAUGAACGCUGGCGGCGUGCCUAAUACAUGCAAGUCGAGCGAACGGACGAGAAGCUUGCUUCUCUGAUGUUAGCGGCGGACGGGUGAGUAACACGUGGAUAACCUACCUAUAAGACUGGGAUAACUUCGGGAAACCGGAGCUAAUACCGGAUAAUAUUUUGAACCGCAUGGUUCAAAAGUGAAAGACGGUCUUGCUGUCACUUAUAGAUGGAUCCGCGCUGCAUUAGCUAGUUGGUAAGGUAACGGCUUACCAAGGCAACGAUGCAUAGCCGACCUGAGAGGGUGAUCGGCCACACUGGAACUGAGACGCGGUCCAGACUCCUACGGGAGGCAGCAGCAGGGAAUCUUCCGCAAUGGGCGAAAGCCUGACGGAGCAACGCCGCGUGAGUGAUGAAGGUCUUCGGAUCGUAAAACUCUGUUAUUAGGGAAGAACAUAUGUGUAAGUAACUGUGCACAUCUUGACGGUACCUAAUCAGAAAGCCACGGCUAACUACGUG
rnacentral:rRNA from 1 species